GUAUACUUCACUAGAAUCAGUGAAAAGUUGAAGUUUUUAGACAAAAAGGCCUAAAGAUGUACGACUGUGAAUAUUUGAAGCAGUUAAUAACUGAAAAAGAAGAUUUCACCUAAACUUUCAACAUUUAAACGGAACUGUCACUGAAGGAAAAAUCCACCAUGUAAUGUUACUUUCAUAUAAACUGGAUGUAAGUCUGUGACGUUAUUGGCAUUUCAGGAACAACUGUGUUUGUUCAAACCUUUUCUUAUUAUGAGAUUACCAGAAAUGAAGGACAGCUGAAUGCUGAAGUGCCAGUAACAUCACAAAAAGCUGCUUUUCUGUCUGCGAUAAAGGAUUUCAGGGUGGAUUUGUCCUUCAAACUACUUGUGAUGACGCUCUGUGUGGAAGAUCUGGGUACUGCGGACAGUUCAAUGACCAAGUCCCUACUUGGUUCUGUUAAGGUCACCCUAAGUAAACCUGCAAAGACACACUUUAUCACUUCUCUUGUAGCAGCAUAACAAAGUUAUAAUGUCACCAUAAUUCAACCAUGGAAGAUGGUUUAUAAAAAAGGUGCAAUGCCUCAUUUUGUGACAUGUUUAAUGUUUUAAAAAAUAAAAUUAAAAUCUAAUCAAUUCUGUAAAUAAUUUUAAAUUGGCAAAAAAACAAAACAAACCUUCUUCUUCUUGUUAUAUUUUUGAGUAGAAACAUUAAUGCUGCAUGCCCUGAUUUAUGAAUUAACACAAAAGAGGAUUAAAUGAAGUCAAUGUAAAAUAAUUUCUUUAAAAAAAAAUUAAAAAAUAGGUCCAAGCAGCGUACUUGUGGUAAACAUUAUGUACAAAGUACUGGUUAUAGAGGUAAUAAAAGUCAUUUUUCAUACAAACAUUUGCAAAAAUUACCAUGAAUAGAACUGGUAUCAAGAACCAAUGAGGAAUCGGACAGAUAAGCAGAAGAGGAAGUGGCGUUAAUAAUAUC